CUUGGUUAUCCCUUAGGGUUUCUAGCAUGAUGAAUUUGCAAUCUCAUAGUCUCAAAUGAUAAAAACACAGAAGGAGCAAAGUGCUUUGUUACUCAAUUUCUCUUGGUAGCCAUAUUCCCUCCCUCAUGGAAACCACAGGUAAUUUGUCAGUAGUUUACAGAAGACUUCUGAGAUGCCAUCCUUCAAGACCGAGGUGGCUUCCAUCAUCAUUAGGAUUUCCUGACACAGUAAAAAAAAUUAGCAGUUGAGAAAAAUAGCUAUGGCUAAUGUGCAAAGAAGAGGAUAGGACUGUUCCAGUUUUUAAAAAUAAUGAUAUGAGCAUCAUUGUAUGAAUGUUACAUCCUGAAAAGCUUUUGAAUUGUCAUAAUAGUGUAAUAAUUGGAAGAGACUGGGUAUUUUUGGUACUUAUCAAGAUAUAUUUUACCAAAAGUUUUAUUUUUUUGACUGGGGAAAAUGUUUCUUUUUUUUUUUUUCUGUCUGUCUUUUAAGAUAUUGACUGUCUGCUUCGUUUCCUAUCCAGAAUCUCAAUCUGCUAUUUCGGAAACUCCAAAAAAAACUUCAGACGCUGUUCAACAGGAAGUUUUUGACAUGAAGUCUGGAGGACAGGCAACUGUAAUUCAGCAGCUGGAACAGACCAUUGAGGAUCUGAGGACCAAAAUAGCUGAACUAGAGAAGCAGUACCCUGCCCUGGACAUGGAGGUGGGCAGUAGCCAUCAAAGGGUUGAGAAUGGAGUGACAGCCUCAGACGAUGUCUGUCUGGAAGCUCUCAGAUUAGGAGAAAAGGAUGUACACCAUCGAAGGAUUGUACAGGCAAAAUCAAUACAGACUUCCCCAACAGAAGAGGGCGGGAUCCUGACACUUCCACCCGCGGGCCCUCCAUGCCCGCCUGGGGUUGAGACUGGAGAGUCUUCUGCUCCAUCUUCAGCUUCUGGAUCUCAGACAAAAUUCUGUUCUGAGAUUUCUUUGAUUGUGUCUUCAAGGAGAAUAUCAGUACAGCUUGAUGCCCAUCAGCCCGUGCUGGGUGUGUCACAGCCUCCACCCCCUCCAUCCCUUCUCUUGCCUGAUGGUCAGGGACAGCCUGGGUCACAGCCCUCCCACUCUUCUCUUCAUACUGACUCUGAAACCAGCCAUGAACGCUCUGUUUCCUCCUCCUCUGGAAACAGCUGUAGCGUCCCGCCCCCGCCACCUCUGCCUUGCUCAGAGCUCUCCCGCUCCAUGCCUGGCCUGGGCGUGGAGACUCUCCCACCUCCCCUUGGUGUGACAGUGCCUGCUCUGCCCAGUACAGCAGUCCCCCCACCGCCUCCUUUGCCAGGUUCUGAAAUGCUGCCACCCCCUCCUCCCCCUUUGCCUGGUGAGGGAGUACUUCCUCUUCCUCCCCCUCCCCUUCCUGGAGUAGGAAUACCCCCUCCCCCUCCCCUUCCAGGAGUGGGGAUACCCCCUCCCCCUCCCCUCCCUGGAGUAGG
rnacentral:lncRNA from 1 species